AGAGUUUGAUCCUGGCUCAGGAUGAACGCUAGCUACAGGCUUAACACAUGCAAGUCGAGGGGCAGCAUGGUCUUAGCUUGCUAAGGCCGAUGGCGACCGGCGCACGGGUGAGUAACACGUAUCCAACCUGCCGUCUACUCUUGGACAGCCUUCUGAAAGGAAGAUUAAUACAAGAUGGCAUCAUGAGUCCGCAUGUUCACAUGAUUAAAGGUAUUCCGGUAGACGAUGGGGAUGCGUUCCAUUAGAUAGUAGGCGGGGUAACGGCCCACCUAGUCUUCGAUGGAUAGGGGUUCUGAGAGGAAGGUCCCCCACAUUGGAACUGAGACACGGUCCAAACUCCUACGGGAGGCAGCAGUGAGGAAUAUUGGUCAAUGGGCGAGAGCCUGAACCAGCCAAGUAGCGUGAAGGAUGACUGCCCUAUGGGUUGUAAACUUCUUUUAUAAAGGAAUAAAGUCGGGUAUGGAUACCCGUUUGCAUGUACUUUAUGAAUAAGGAUCGGCUAACUCCGUGCCAGCAGCCGCGGUAAUACGGAGGAUCCGAGCGUUAUCCGGAUUUAUUGGGUUUAAAGGGAGCGUAGAUGGAUGUUUAAGUCAGUUGUGAAAGUUUGCGGCUCAACCGUAAAAUUGCAGUUGAUACUGGAUAUCUUGAGUGCAGUUGAGGCAGGCGGAAUUCGUGGUGUAGCGGUGAAAUGCUUAGAUAUCACGAAGAACUCCGAUUGCGAAGGCAGCCUGCUAAGCUGCAACUGACAUUGAGGCUCGAAAGUGUGGGUAUCAAACAGGAUUAGAUACCCUGGUAGUCCACACGGUAAACGAUGAAUACUCGCUGUUUGCGAUAUACGGCAAGCGGCCAAGCGAAAGCGUUAAGUAUUCCACCUGGGGAGUACGCCGGCAACGGUGAAACUCAAAGGAAUUGACGGGGGCCCGCACAAGCGGAGGAACAUGUGGUUUAAUUCGAUGAUACGCGAGGAACCUUACCCGGGCUUAAAUUGCAGAUGAAUUACGGUGAAAGCCGUAAGCCGCAAGGCAUCUGUGAAGGUGCUGCAUGGUUGUCGUCAGCUCGUGCCGUGAGGUGUCGGCUUAAGUGCCAUAACGAGCGCAACCCUUGUUGUCAGUUACUAACAGGUUCCGCUGAGGACUCUGACAAGACUGCCAUCGUAAGAUGUGAGGAAGGUGGGGAUGACGUCAAAUCAGCACGGCCCUUACGUCCGGGGCUACACACGUGUUACAAUGGGGGGUACAGAGGGCCGCUACCACGCGAGUGGAUGCCAAUCCCCAAAACCUCUCUCAGUUCGGACUGGAGUCUGCAACCCGACUCCACGAAGCUGGAUUCGCUAGUAAUCGCGCAUCAGCCACGGCGCGGUGAAUACGUUCCCGGGCCUUGUACACACCGCCCGUCAAGCCAUGGGAGCCGGGGGUACCUGAA
rnacentral:rRNA from 1 species